AGAAACCAUGACUAAAGAGAAGAGUCUCCCUUGUGCUUUAUUUUCAGUUUUGCAGUUCAGCAAUGAGAAAGGUGUUGUCUGGUUCGGUUUCUUAUAGAGAAGAAUACAAGAGAAGGUGGCAAAGCCGAAGAGGUGUUUCUGAAGGUCUCUAGCAUCGGAAUAGAGCCAUGGACACCAGCUUUACCUCAAUAGCUCAAAGAAUUGUGAUGGAGUGUGGGGAAGGGGUGACACAUGUUGUUACCAUCUACGAGGGAUAUGCACUUCCACAUGCCAUCUGGAGGUUUGAUGUAGGUGACAAGCACCUGACCGACAGUUUUACCAAGAUCCAAAGGCCUUGUGUUAACCAAUUCAUCAGCAGAGAGGCAAAUUGUUAGGGAUAUAAAAGAGUGACUCAGCUAUGUGGAUGUCAACUUCCACACGGAAUUGCCUGAUGGCCAGGUCAUAACAAUUUGAGCAGGGCGGCAAUCAUCUGAAUCAACAUAGAAGUGUUAGUUUCUUCUUCUUUUGAAGUAACAAAUAAAACAAUAGAAUGACUAUUCAAUACACUCUAAGAAUUCUUAAUUCUAUUGUUCAGUUGGGGUAGGUGCUA